GUCAAUUACCCCGCCUAAGUCCAUAGGACUAUAGACGGGGCUUGAAAGAGAAUUCUUUUAAGCCCGAUUGAUUAGCCUAAGUCUUGAAACAAAGACUACGUUAUGCAGUGACACUUAAGCAACUUAUCCGGGAAUGCUCCACAAGUUCCCGGCUCUA
rnacentral:sRNA from 1 species